GGCUGUGUCAGGCUGUCUUUACAACCCAACCCCAUAAAGGAUUGCUGUGUUUCUUUUCUUUUCAUACUUGUAACAAAGCUGAAACCCCUCCUAUUACUUUUCUGUGCCUUUAUUUUCCAUAACUUAAAGUUUCUCAUAACAUAAUCAACUAAUAACACAACUUUUAAAUAUUUCAGCAGUGCAAACUAUGAGUAACAUCUAGUCCUAGUAUUGACAUCUUGUUCUUUUUCUUUUUCAUUCACAUUUAGUGAAAAGGCUUCAUUCAAUAUGGUUAAAUUGAUUUAUAUAUUAGAUCAUGUAUUACUACUGAGGGGAGGAACAUUUGAUGAAAAUCUAAGUGUGGCAAUGCAUCUAAUUAUUGCAGAUUUGCUAGCAAAUGCAAUGGGUGUGUUAGGGAAACAUAUGUUUCAAUUUCCUGUGAUUAGGUAAUGUCAGUUAUUUAGUCAUCAUCCAGUCAGCAAGUCUGGGAAUAUGUUGUGAACUUGCCAGAAGUGACACAUGCCCCACGAGUGAAGAAAAAAGUUCCAAAUAGUUGACGAAAGUAUAUUGUUAAAACAUUUUUUAAAUAGAGUUUUUAAAGAAAGUUUUACUACUUCCUGAUCACAUGGAAAGGGGUAGGUAUGUUUGUUUUGGUGUUUCCAACAGUAAUGACCCUAAGGUCUGAGUCUGUACAAACACUUAUUUCUCUAUCAUUUAACCUUAUUUAAACAGACAUACCUUUCAUAUCCUUUAGCACUUUUUUUGUCACAUCAUCACAGAUCUUCCCAUAUGACAAACAAUUUAAAGUAAAAAAAUAUGCCAUUUUGACAUUCUGGAAUGCAAUUAAAAUGUGUGAUUAUAUUGUCCAUUGUUUGAAUAGCAUAUGGGCAACAGUUUGAAUGAUGACAACAGUAAUAAUGAUAUAUUACUUUGUUGUUAUGUCAGUAAAGGUUCUCAGUCAGUAAAGAUGCUCAAUCAAGAAUGGUGUUCAGUUGGUAAAUGUGCUCAGUCAGGAAUGAUGCUCAGUCAAUAAAGGUGCUCCAUCAGGAAAGAUGCUCAUUCAGGAAGGAUGCUCAAUCAGGAAUGGUGCUCAGUCAGAAAUGAUGCGCAGUCAGGAAGGAUGCUCAAUCAAGAAUGAUGCUCAGUCAGUAAAGGCGCUCAGUCAGGAAAAAUGCACAGUCACGAAGGAUGCUCAAUGAGCAAAGGUGCUCAGUCAGGAAAAAUGCGCAGUCAGGAAGGAUGCUCAAUCAGCAAAAGUGCUCAGUCAGUAAAAAUGCUCAGCCAGUGAAGGUACCCAGUCAGUACAGUAAAGGUGACUUGCCACACGUGCAGGUUGGGAUCCAUACCCUUAAGGGUACAAGGUAGAACCUGGGCCGUGUCACUGGGUAAAUGUUACUGGUAAUCCAUAGCAGAGGAAUGCAGUUAGCUUUGUCCUUCACGAGGUAGGUUGUGUUUAAGUUGGCCUGGGUUCUUUGAGAUAGCUCUGCAUGCUUGCUGCUCUAACUGACAGACUAGACUGUAAUCUGGGAGAGAUACGCAUUUCCUCUGACUUGUGC